AGCGAACGCUGGCGGCAGGCCUAACACAUGCAAGUCGAACGAACUCUUCGGAGUUAGUGGCGGACGGGUGUGUAACACGUGGGAACGUGCCUCUUGGUUCGGAAUAACUCAGGGAAACUUGUGCUAAUAUCGAAUGUGUCCCUCGGGGGAAAGAUUCAUCGCCAUUAGAGCGGCCCGCGUCUGAUUAGCUAGUUGGUGAGGUAACGGCUCACCAAGGCGACGAUCAGUAGCUGGUCUGAGAGGAUGACCAGCCACACUGGGACUGAGACACGGCCCAGACUCCUACGGGAGGCAGCAGUGGGGAAUCUUGCGCAAUGGGCGAAAGCCUGAAGCAGCCAUGCCGCGUGAAUGAUGAAGGUCUUAGGAUUGUAAAAUUCUUUCACCGGGGACGAUAAUGACGGUACCCGGAGAAGAAGCCCCGGCUAACUUCGUG
rnacentral:rRNA from 1 species